UACGGAGGGUGCAAGCAUUAAUCGGAUUUACUGGGCGUAAAGGGCGCGUAGGCGGGUUACUAAGUCAACUGUGAAAUUCCGGAGCUCAACUCCGGAGCUGCAUUUGAAACUGGUAGUCUAUAGAGGGAUGGCGGAGAAAAUGGAAUUCCACGUGUAGCGGUGAAAUGCGUAGAUAUGUGGAAGAACACCAGUGGCGAAAGCGGUUUUCUAGCUAUUUCCUGACGCUGAGGCGCGAGAGCAUGGGGAGCAAACAGG
rnacentral:rRNA from 1 species